GAUCCUGGCUUAGGAUUAACGCUGGCGGCGUGCCUAAUACAUAGCAAGUCGAAUGGUAGCAAUACCAUGGCGAACGGGUGAGUAACACGUAGGUAACCUGUCUUUAAGACGAGGAUAACCGUUGGAAACGACGGAUAAUACUCGAUAGGUGAUUUUAGGGCAUCCUAGAAUCAUUAAAGAUUUAUCACUUGGAGAGGGGCCUGCGGCGCAUUAGCUAGAUGGCGGAGUAAUAGCCCACCAUGGCGAUGAUGCGUAGCCGGACUGAGAGGUUGAACGGCCACAAUGGAACUGAGAACGGUCCAUACUCCUACGGGAGGCAGCAGUAGGGAAUUUUCGGCAAUGGGCGAAAGCCCUGACCGAGCAACGCCGCGUGAACGAAGAAGUAUUUCGGUAUGUAAAGUUCUUUUAUUAGGGAAGAAAAAUAUUCAAAUUGACGGUACCUAAUGAAUAAGCUCCGGCUAACUACGUGCCAGCCGCGGC
rnacentral:rRNA from 1 species